rnacentral:misc_RNA from 4 species
AACGCACCUUGCACCCUUUGGCAUUCCGAAGGGUAUGCUCGUUUGAGUGUCAUUGUACUCUCACACUUCCAAUUCUAUGGAUUGGGAGCGGUGGACUUGGGCGCUGCUGCUUUACUGUGGCUCACCUCAAAUGCAUUAGUGCAACCCUUGGUUAGACAUAGUACGGCGUGAUAAGUGUCUUCGCUGGCGCCUCACUUAGAGGGUGGCUGAUCAGGGGCUCUGUGCUUCAAACCGUCUUUGGACAAUGGCUGACAACUUGACCUCAAAUCGAGUAGGACUACCCGCUGAACUUAA